ensembl:lncRNA
AGAGGUUCGGCCGCGGUGGGCCAGAGCAGAAACCGGUUCUUUGUUCAUCACUGAAUAGAACGUGGAAAUCCAUCGCCUCUAACCCAGAGGUGUGAGGUGUCACAAUGGCACGGGAAUAGGCCCCGACAAGCUGAUGCCCACGGCUGAAUGAAAUCCUUUGUAAGACAUCAAAGUGCUUUGUCAUUGUGACGAGGAAGGGAAGCAGAACUGCAGAGUCAUGCUUCAACACCAAGUCCUCCAGACCACAGAAGAAGAGGAGAGGCAUGUUGGUCCUCCAGCAGCACAGAAGAAGAGGAGAGACAUGUUGGUCCUCCAACACCACAGAAGAAGAGGAGACUCAUGUUGGUCCUCCACCACAGAAGAAGAGGAGAGGACAGUUUAGGCCGAGGUGAAGGGUAAAGAACAACAAUCGGUGGCCAUCUUGUUUUUUGCAGAACCUCCAAAAACCAGCGGCAGGGAUUGUGAAUAUAUUAUGGGAUAUGUGUCAGACGGAGAAAUGUUUACCGAUUAGUUUGUGUUUCUGCAGAUGGUUCAACACAAUUCACCAUAACGGCUAACAUCGUUCAGCUAUUUAUGUGAGCUUUGUCUUCUGCUAACCAGCCACAGUCACAUGACCUCUGACCUGGUGAGGACCUUAAGAACUGAACGACAUCAGAUAAACCUAAAGAGCAGACCCAGUGACUGUUCCCCUGGUGGGGCCCUUUCCCCCCGCUGUUAUUAGAGCAUGAAGGGACCGACAGGCCCCUAAGUACUGUCUGAUCUGUGGAGGCCCCCGGGGGCCCCAGGAAACCCUAACACGUUUACAGGCACUGCGUUACGGCACUGCUCCAACGCCUGGCCAGGAGGCCUCUGUCUGUCGGGCAGCCGACCUGUCAGCCUGUACACACACGCAAACACACACACACACAUGCACACACACCCAACCCCACACACACUCACAGACACUCAGAAGCCACCUGCACACACACACACACACACACACAGAAGCCACCUGCACACACACACACACACACACAAAAAGAAGCAUAACUGCCGAACCGCAGCUGAAGGUUGUGGUUAACGACAACACAAUCUGAAGCUCAUCAUCAGAGGGAGCCUCCAUUUUGGCUCCAUGCAGUUUCACC